AUCCUGAAUUUACCCACAGCCAAACAAACAAGAUGGCGCUCACGUUACUUCUCAGAGUUCAAGGGUUCACAUCCCCUUCCUACAGAGCACCCUUCAUGCCCAAACAGGCCUCUCUAUGCCAGAGCACGAGGAGUCCCAGGAAGGAAGGAGAAAGUGGUCAAGUCCCGCCCUCUCUCCCUUUGCCACCUGGGCCGGAAAGCCACGCUGCUUGUUCCCCAGAGCAUCACAGAAAACCAGCUCAGACUGGUGGAUGGGCCCCGCUCAGAAUCCGACUUGAGCUGCUCUCCUCCAUCCCCACCCAUCACCUCCUGCGGGUCUGUGAGGCUGGAAUCUCUUGAUCCUGGCGCAUCAGACAGUCACACUCAAGUUCAAACUCAGGUUCAGCUGUGGCUCUCUCUGAACUUCUGUAGUAUUUCAUCCCCAACUGAUCUACCUACAUCAAGCAUUUAGAAGCCAAGUUGAAAAAAAAAGAAAUAAAAUUAAGGGGUGGAUUUCCUCUAAGUUCUUGCUCUUUAGGACCCGGGUGCCCCGUUUAUUCCCUGACAAAAUGGUGGUCUGCCAUCACGUGAAGGAAAGGAGUUCCUCCUGUGGUCAAGGAUUGUUUGACUUUCCCAGGGAAACCUAUAGAGAGGAGAGGAAUGGAAAGAGCUUCCCAGGGCGUCUUGAGAAUGUUGGAGCAAUAGCAGGGAUCACUUCCAGGACAUUCCUGGCUGACAUCUGUCAAGCCUCAACAUGCCCACAUCUCAGGAAGAGGCACUCUCCUCUUUUACAUUGCUAUAUAAACUUUUCUUCUAAAUUAAAUCCUACUGUUUAUGUAAAACUCCCUCACUAGCAAAAUCAUGCUCAUAUAUCAUUUUAUUUUAUUGUUACACCAACGCUAAAGGGAAGGCAUUGUUAGCCCCAUGAUCUUUGAGGAAACUGAAUUUCAAGGGCAUUAAAUGAGUUGCUCAGAGUUGCAGAGUCAGGAUUCAAACUCUGAGCUUCUAAUUCUAAACCCAGUGUUGUUUUCAGACUAAACUGCAGCCCUCUAGAGCUUUUAGAGGAUGGAGAUGAUAAGUUUAUGUCUUUUUCUUUCUUUUUUUUUUUUUUUUGAGGAAGAUUGGCCCUGAGCUGACAUCCGUACCCACCUUCCUCUACUUUGUAUGUGGGAUGCCUAUCCCAGCACGGCUUGAUAAACAGUGUAUAGGUCUGUGCCUGGGAUCCAAACUGGUGAACCCUGGGCCACCGAAGCGGAGUGUGCAAACUCAACCACUACGCCACCAGGCCAGCAGUGUGUUUAUGUCUUUUUGUGCAGUGCCUUAAUAGAUAUGGUUUUAGUAAAUUAAUUCAUUUUUCCAUAGAUCAUUUUAUUUAGUGGAUAGAGUGUAGCAUAGUAGAAUCAUAACAUGUUGGAUUUGAACUCCAUCUUGACUACCUACCUCCAAGGUGUUUGACCGCAGACAAGUAACUUAACCUUAAUUCUCUCAUUUAUGACAUGAGUUGUUACAAAUAUUUAUAUUUUCAUUUGUUACAAAUAUAUAUAUUUGCUAGUCUCCAAAGAUAGUUUCUCAAUGAGUUACACCACUUAGUAUCUACAGCUUUGUAUAAGCCUCUCGCUUUGAAUCUGGAUUGGUCUCGUGACUCACUUUUGACCAAUGAAAGUGACUCUGAGGCUAGACCAUAAGAAACCUUGCAGCUUCCACCUCAUUCUCUUGGAGCACUCGAUCUAGGAAAAGAAAGCUCCUUAGGAGAAAUCUGACUACUCUGAGAUUGCUAUGUUUUGUUUUGUUUUGUUUUGUUUUGUUUGAGGAAGAUUAGUCCUGAGCUAACAUCUGCCACAAAUCCUCCUCUUUUCACUGAGGAAGACUGGCCCUGAGCUAACAACCGUGCUCAUCUUCCUUUACUUUAUACGUGGGACACCUGCCACAGCAUGGCUUGACAAAUGGUAUAUAGGUCUGCACCCAGGACCCGAACCGGCGAACCCCAGGCCACCUAAACAGAACAUGCGAACUAAACUGCUGCACCACCAGGCCAGCCCCUGAGAUUGCCAUGUUUUGAGGAGGCCCAAACUGGCCUGUGGAGAAGACGUGGAGAGAGAAGACGAGAUGCCCAGCCAGCCUCCAGAUGUUCCAGCUAUCCCAGCUAAGGAGACAGACAAAGGGAAGAAGCCAUGAUGGAUGUCCAGCACAACCGAGUCAUCAGAUGUCUCCAGCCCCAGCCACUUCUUACAGCAACUGCA
rnacentral:lncRNA from 1 species